GUUCGUUUAACAAGUGCAGCUCGAGAUUCGUCAUUUGCGAUCGCGUUCGUUGUUAGGUUAUAAUCUUGUCGCGAUAAAAACCUCGGUAACAAAGGUGUAAUUGAGUUUCGUUUCGUGAGUGCUGCGUUACUGCUAGUGACUCGGGUAUAUCGUGGGCAUUGAAGGGAGUACGAGAGGAGCUUCACCCCCGCGGAUUUGCGGGUAUUUCGGUGGGAACUUAAUAAUCCGCGGCUCGAUAAUAACGAUUCGUGGAAGCUGGGGCUGGAAUCGCGCGCGCGGCAAAAAUGCGGCAGUCAUCUCCCUCCCUCUUUCUCUCUUUCUCUCUACCACGAUCCUCGCGUCGGGACGACGACAUCGUGGCAUUAGUAAAAACGCGAUAUUGUCUGACUCAACAGGUUGCCGCCGCCGCCCCCGCGGCUGACGGCGGCGGCGGUGGAGUUGCCACCCCGCACGCGCCGCCAGCUUUGUAUUAAAUAAACCUGACGCGCUCUGUGGGGUGAUCUCUCUCUCUUUCUCUCCCUUUUAUCGGACUUGUCGGACGAAGACCGAAAGAAAGAGAGACAGACAUCCACGUACAGUCCAUUAGUGACGUUAUUAAGUAUCUAAUUCAGUGCUUUUCUGUCGAUCUCUAGCGAAACGAAACGUGAUGUUUCUCGCGCGCUCUUCUCGCCGUAGUUUCGUGAGAAAGAGACUUCUUAAUUGGAGUUACGUCGACGUGGAGAGAUUUUGCGUCACUUGGAGCAGCGAGAAUUCAUAAUAAGGGAUCAAGUGGUUCGUGCAAAUGUUUAGACCAGUGGACCAGUAGACCAGUAGACCAGUAGACUAGUGGACGUCGUACCAAAAAGAUACAUUUGUGAGAUACACCCACAAUGAGAUCAUAUUUUAAAGAGGAACCGUUCUCUCUGUACGCUUUUGUCCGCUCUUGAUCUCGCAAACACGAGAGCAUCGUCAUUACGAAAAGGGACUCUCACCAUGUGCAAUCCACGGUCGACCUGAGAGCUCGAAAAUCCCAAUCAGCUGCUCGCCAGAUAUUCGAGCAAACAAGGGAUUCGCUCCGACAAUAGAAUUGUGCUUCUCUCGUCUCCGCGCCACGCUCGCGCGUGCUCGGCUGCACAUGCGUACAUAUUUUCCAGGGCGCGUUUUCUCUGGCGUGCAUGUGAGGCCAUGGAAAUUUGAGAGCCUCGCCAGAACUUCGUGUCGCAUGUCCUCAAGGUGUUCGAUUUACACAAAAAAUUUGGUUAUUUAGCGUGGAUUUUGUGCGUGUCCAUGAAAGUAGAGACUCGAAAAAGUAUGCGUUUUAUUAAAUUCAAAGAUUUUUUUUUUACACUUUCUCUUAUGUAACUGACACAAACUUUUCUUAAAUCGAUGUUUAUAGUUUUUACUUUCACAUUUCUUAUAUUUAAAUUUGUUUUGCCAUGAACUUAAAAAUUCCAUGUAGCAACAAGAGGCUUAGUGUCUCAAGGCUGUACUUAUAACAAUAAAAUAUAUUUUAGGCUCGGAUUAUAAAUACUACAGCUUUAGAAUUCAAAAAAUAAUAAUCUUUCUUUCUAAACUUACUUUUUUUUUAAGCAAAAGAGUUAACUCUUUUUUGAACGCUUUUGUUGUCACUUUUAAUUUAUUGAGCAGAAAAUUGUUUUAAGAAAGAAUAAUUGUUUCAUGAUCAGUUUCGAAAGUAGCUUUCUCCAACAGAAGAUCAGUUUUUUUUCUCGAGGAACAAAUAGUUUUACUUUACUGUUAAAGUAACUCUUUUUAGAAGGAACGUUUUUUAGGACGGUUGUCCAUUGCUUUCUAUAUCGUAUUUCUGAACCCUUUUCUGCCGCAUUAUUCGUUCUCAACCCUUUCAUUGUGCCGCACUAUCGAAACCCAUCGAGAAACUUUUCUUUCUCUCUCUACUGUAAUUCAUCUUUCGAUGCGUCCUGGUGCGCCCUAACGAAAGAUCCCGAUUUCGCCCUGAAACCGUAAAAAUCUGCAACGACCGUUUCAUUUCCCCUAUCCGUCGACAUUAUUUCUCUCUCCUCCUCCCUCCCACCGCGUCGAUGAUCAUCCUCAAACACGCACGGACGGUCUCCUCUUCACGAAAUUCAACUCUUGCUCCAGCUCUCCCCACGUUCCCACGGAAUCCUUUUUCCCGAAAAUACUAGCUCUCUUUUCCUCUUUCACGUCGUUUCUCUUUCGCUCCUUCGUGCGCACAUAUACGUUACCCGGGGGUUGCCUAUGCCUGGUUAAAAGAAUCCGCGUCGCGGCGAAAAAAAGACUUGCGCGUAUUGUCACGGUGAAAUCCGUUUUAUGGGCAAAUUUUGAUGGACGUGAAAAAACAUAGCGGCUCGCUGAGUGGCAGAAACUCUUGGCGGGAGACACUGAAAUAUUUUGAAUGUUCAUCAGAACUAAAGAAAUUUGAUUAAAAAUUGGAUCAAAACCUUUUUUUCUCGGUCUAGAGGAAUGAUAUACUUCGCGCCUAAUAAGUUCAGACGAUUCGAGAUUAACGGUAACGGUUUGUCGGCGGGAAAUCAGAGCAAUUUUCCGCGACCGGCCGGCGCUCCGGGAGGAGAGGCAACGAAUCCGGCGCUCGAAUGCACCAACGCGACGCACUCGUGAGCAAACAAAGUCGACGGCGACGUUAGGCGGGAUGUGCCUUGUGCAUAUAUAGACGGCAACACGGAGGGCCCGUUCUCUCUCCCUCU